GGGAAGGGUGAGAACCUUCGAUUAAGGUUCGACUCGAGCGAAAGCGAGAGAACGUUGCCAACGGCAACGGCCCGUAGGGUGAGGAGCGAAGCGACGAAUAAUCCUUCCCCCACCACCA
rnacentral:sRNA from 1 species